rnacentral:rRNA from 1 species
UACGUAGGGUGCGAGCGUUGUCCGGAAUUAUUGGGCGUAAAGAGCUCGUAGGCGGUCUGUCGCGUCUGCUGUGAAAUCCCGAGGCUCAACCUCGGGCUUGCAGUGGGUACGGGCAGGCUAGAGUGCGGUAGGGGAGAAUGGAACUCCUGGUGUAGCGGUGGAAUGCGCAGAUAUCAGGAGGAACACCGAUGGCGAAGGCAGGUCUCUGGGCAUUAACUGACGCUGAGGAGCGAAAGCAUGGGGAGCGAACAGG